rnacentral:lncRNA from 1 species
CUUGUGGCAGAAUGUCUCUCCCACAGACUACAGGCACCCCACACUUGAGCUUGACAUUUUGGAAGCUCAAAGAGCAACAGCCUGGCUGUAGAGCCUUCCCAUGCAAAAGAAUUGUUCUUGUCCGAUAGAUCUGACAAAGCAUUUCUGUGCUUUCACUUCAGGCUUAGACCCUUGCUGAUUGUAUUUCCUAAGUCCCUGUCCUCUGCCGCCAGCUGCCCUUGCCCCUCCUCCCUUCCCUCCCUUGAACUUGAGCGCUCUGGUUCAGAGAACAUUGGCCUUGCCUCUGCGUGCUCUCUCUGUUGGCUGGCCCUCUAAGCCCUGCGUGCUCAGUUUAGGCUUUGCCUUUCUAGCUGCUCCCUCAUCCGGUCCCUCUCCUGCCUCCUUCCCUCCCUCCCCUGUGUCUUGACUGUGGUGCUCAGCACACCAAGCUGAAAUUCUUGGUCCACGUGAUUCUCCCCCACAUACAGCCACAAGUUUCUUCUGGGCAGAAACUGUCUUGUUCAUCUGUGAAUCACCAGGUCCCAGGGCGAUGCUCACCACAGAGCUGGUGCAUGGGGCCAACUGUUAGAAGCUUGCUGAAUGAAUAAAGGAACCCACAAAUGGAAAGGACCAACUCCACAGGCCUCAACACAGACAUGCACCACCUUCCCAUCUCAUUCCUCCUGUGCUGAAGUCGUCACAGAGGUGGACACUUGCAUGAUUUGUGGGACACUAGCUGCUGCCAUUCAGGGGAAUGGUCACAUCUAGUGGGAAGGGAAUUAUGAAAGACGUUCUUGAAUAUUCACGAAGGUAAAUCAUAAGCAACUUUAAAAUACGAUUUUUAGAGCUGAGUUCACCUUGUUUCUUUGUCAAGAAGGGAAAUGCUUUCCCAAGAAUAUGAGAAUCAGACGGCAACUGUCCUCAUUGGCCACCUCAGGUUGGAGCAGCUUCUAGACUGGAGAGACAGGGCUUCCUAUUCCUAUUAGAGGAGUGGGUAGACACAGAGACAUGUGAGUUGAGUUUUUGGUUCUUGUGAAUCAUGGGCUAAUGCCUUUUAAAGGAUCAGGUGGUUUCUCUGGCAUUUCACA